GUUAGUUCAUUUGCAGAGCAGAGAUGCUUGAUUCUAUUUUCUGUCUAAUAGUAAAUCCUUCCCACUUCAGAGUUAUCAAUUCACCCCCAUUUGUGACUACCUCAUGUUCAAUAAGAGGAAGUUACCCAGUCACAAUCAGUCCCAUGCUCUAGUACUCUAAACCAGAGGGUACUUGAUCCUUAUUUUUUAACAGAUGUAUCCCCCUCUUCCAUCUGGCACCAUAUUAAUAUGAAUUCUUUGUUUCAGAGCCAUCAUCAACCACUUUAACCCCAAAAUUGAGUCCUACGCUGCUGUGAAUCACAUAUCCCAACUGUCAGAGGAGCAGGUGCUGGAGGUGGUGAGAGCCAACUAUGACACGCUCACGCUGAAGCUGCAGGAUGGCCUGGACCAGUAUGAGCGCUACUCAGAGCAGCACAAGGAAGCUGCCUUCUUCAAAGAGCUGGUUCGAUCCAUUAGCACCAACGUCCGGAGAAACCUGGCCUUCCACACACUCAGUCAAGAAGUCCUGCUCAAGGAGUUCUCCACUAUCUCCUGAGGCCACACCUACCUGAGCAGCCUCUGACUGCCCUUACCCAUGAGGAUCAUGGGCUGGAGGGGGAGCGAGGGGAGAGGGGGCUGCCCCCGAGGUUGGAGAGAAACACAGAUACCAAGUUCUCUUGGUGAAGACCACACUUCAAUGGAGCUCGGGCAGCAGGGGCAGGAGGGUCAAGCCAGGGAUAAUCUUAUUUGGGGAGGAAUGGGUGGGCACAGUGGGGAGAGGCCUCCAGGAAUGUGGGGACUUCCAGAGUGGGCUCCCUAAACAGCCCCUCACAUUUCCAAUCUUGAGGUUACAAGCUGUAGCUACUGACUAAUUUUCGGGAGCUGGUGAGGCAAGCCUCAGGGUAAUGCCAGCACCCUGAAAGUCAGUGGCUCUGCUCGGCUUCUGAAAACAGAUCAACUCUCAGAUAUAGCUGGAGCUACAUCCUGCUUCCUUUGGGCCUGGGGCUGUGCUUGGCUUGAAAUCUGUGUCCCCUGCCUGCACUGGCACUUUGUCCAGUCAUCGGGACCUUUGGCUCAGAUUUAGGGUAAGAUAGGAAUAGGGUACCUUUUUCCUUUUUUUUCUGAGACGGAGUCUCACUCUGUCGCCCAGGCUGGAAUGCAGUGGCGUGAUCUCGGCUUUACUGCAGCCUCCGCUUCCUGGGUUCAAGCGAUUCUCCUGCCUCAGCCUCCCGAGUAGCUGGGACUACAGGAGCGUGUGCCACGCCCGGCUAAUUUUUUGUAUUUUUAGUAGAGAUGGGGUUUCACCAUGUUACCCAGGAUGGUUUCAAUAUCCUGAGUUCAUGAUCCACCCGCCUUGGCCUCCCAAAGUGCUGGGAUUACAGGUGUGAGCCACCACACCCAGCCAGUUUUCCUAUUUUCUGAAUUCAGAAUUGACUUCUCUGGGAAAACUGGAGAUGAGAAUCUGCCCAGUGCUCUGCUGUCCGGCCACCGCCUUUUGAAUUUUAGUUUUGGCACCAGGAGUACCGUUAGCUUUCCCCUUCUUCUGGCCCAUUUGACUCAUCAGCACAAUAGGGUCACAACCUUAACUUUUAAUUUCUAAUCUGGUUUACUGUCUUUAGGGUGUGUAUGAAAUAAACAUUGACAGGCUUUCUGGAGCCCUCAAGGUGCCUACUUUGCUGGUUCCCUUUCCAGCAGCUCCCCCACCUCCCUAGCCCCCCCUCCUCUGGCAGCCUCUCCUGCCUCUGCUGAGCUCCCCUCCACGUGUUCCACCCCCUUACCCUGCUGUUGUUUACAUCCAACCUGCCUGAGAAUUUCCUCUGGGGAGGAAUCUAUUCCUGUCAUGGUCUAGUGCCUGGGAGGGAGAGAACUUUCUGGGGGUAGGGUGCCCUCCAUCUGUAACAGGCCAGGUGAGCAUCAUGCAUAAGGCCUCCAUUCUGUCCACUCAGAUUCUGGGUAGGGCCACAGGCAAAUCUCCUGACUUCUGGGGAGUUGGCUUGUGGUUCCUCCCUUGGAUAGCCUCCAUGGAACCACUAUAGGCUUUCCCAACAACUGCCUCUGAAAUAGCUGCUGCUUCGAGAUCCUCCCUUUUUAAAGCACUUUCUAAAGCCCUCAGGAUGGCGGGAGCAAACAGCACUGGUAUAUUCUAGGAGUAAGUGCAGGAAUUCAGCAGUGAGAGCAUGUCUGGGACCACCUGGACUGCCAUCCAUUUAACCUCAAAUCUCUUUGGGAUACUCGCCCUCCCUGGGAACCAGAGUUCUGGCUCUAACAUUGAGCAGCUAUGCACUAGUUCCAGAGAAGCCACUAACAGGCUGCCAUGUGUAGAUGUAGGUUCUUAAGAGAUCACAGGCUGGGUCAUCUGAUCACUGGAUGGAUAGCUCAGCCUGGGGCAUUUAGUGUUUUCCCUGGUGAUAAACCCCCAAGGCAGCUGGAUUUGGAGCUGGUGGCAAGUUGAAAUUAUUAAAAAUUGAUUUGUGUGGGACUGUC
rnacentral:sRNA from 1 species